GGGGGUAUAGCUCAGUGGUAGAGUAUUCGACUGCAGAUCGAGAGGUUCCUCGGUUCCCAACUCGGAUGCUCCCU
rnacentral:tRNA from 1 species